UUACAGAAAUGUGUCUGUGCAAUGUGAGGAAGGAGGAUGGACUGUUAUUCAAAAACGGUAUGAUGGUAGUGUUGAAUUCCACAGAAAUUGGAAUGAUUAUGAAAACGGAUUUGGAAACAUACAUGAGGAGUUUUGGUUAGGCAACAAGAAUAUAGCGCAACUGACAUCAGAGGGAAAUCAUGAACUUAGGAUCGAUGUGGAGGACUGGGAUGGAAACAAGCGUUAUGCAGUUUAUAGAAGCUUCUCAAUAGGCGACGCAUCUACAAAAUACCGAUUAAGUAUCAGUGAUUUCUCAGGAAACGCAGGUGACGGAAUGAGCUAUUAUAG